rnacentral:rRNA from 1 species
GAUGAACGCUAGCGGCAGGCUUAACACAUGCAAGUCGAGGGGUAUAGAAAGCUUGCUUUCUAGAGACCGGCAAACGGGUGCGGAACACGUACACAACCUACCUUUAUCAGGGGGAUAGCCUUCGGAAACGGAGAUUAAUACCCCAUAGUAUUAUGGAGUGGCAUCAUUUUAUAAUUAAAGAAUUUCGGAUAGAGAUGGGUGUGCGUAAGAUUAGCUAGUUGGUGAGGUAAAGGCUCACCAAGGCAACGAUCUUUAGCUGAUGUGAGAGCAUGAUCAGCCAUGCGGGAACUGAUAUGCGGGCCCCACUCCUACGGGAGGCAGCAAUGAGGAAUAUUGGUCAAUGGACGGAAGUUUGAACCAGCCAUGCCGCGUGAAGGAUGAAAGCGUUCUGCGUUGUAAACUUCUUUUAUUUAGAAAGAAACCUCCUUUUUUUAAGAUUGGUGAUGGUAUUAAAUUAAUAAGCACCGGCUAACUCCGUGCCAGCAGCCGCCGUAAAAC